AUUGAACGCUGGCGGAAUGCUUUACACAUGCAAGUCGAACGGUAGAGGGGGCAACCCCUUGAGAGUGGCGAACGGGUGAGUAAUAUAUCGGAACGUGCCCAGUCGUGGGGGAUAACGUAGUGAAAAUUACGCUAAUACCGCAUACGAUCUAAGGAUGAAAGCGGGGGAUCGCAAGACCUCGCGCGACUGGAGCGGCCGAUAUCAGAUUAGGUAGUUGGUAGGGUAAAGGCCUACCAAGCCAACGAUCUGUAGCUGGUCUGAGAGGACGACCAGCCACACUGGAACUGAGACACGGUCCAGACUCCUACGGGAGGCAGCAGUGGGGAAUUUUGGACAAUGGGCGAAAGCCUGAUCCAGCCAUUCCGCGUGCAGGAUGAAGGCCCUCGGGUUGUAAACUGCUUUUGUACAGAACGAAAAGGUCUCUAUUAAUACUAGGGGCUCAUGACGGUACUGUAAGAAUAAGCACCGGCUAACUACGUGCCAGCAGCCGCGGUAAUACGUAGGGUGCAAGCGUUAAUCGGAAUUACUGGGCGUAAAGCGUGCGCAGGCGGUUAUAUAAGUCAGAUGUGAAAUCCCCGGGCUCAACCUGGGAACUGCAUUUGAGACUGUAUAGCUAGAGUACGGUAGAGGGGGAUGGAAUUCCGCGUGUAGCAGUGAAAUGCGUAGAUAUGCGGAGGAACACCGAUGGCGAAGGCAAUCCCCUGGACC
rnacentral:rRNA from 1 species